GUCCAUGGCCAUACCACCCUGAAAUGUACCUGAUCUCCUCUGAUCUCAGAAGUUAAGCAGGGUUGGGCCUGGUUAGUACUUGGAUGGGAGAUUACCAAUAAUGAAAUUUGUUUCUGGUUUUGACU
rnacentral:rRNA from 1 species